rnacentral:rRNA from 1 species
GACGAACGCUGGCGGCGUGCUUAACACAUGCAAGUCGAACGGAAAGGCCCUGCUUUUGUGGGGUUCUCGAGUGGCGAACGGGUGAGUAACACGUGAGUAACCUGCCCUUGACUUUGGUAUAACUUCAGGAAACUGGGGCUACUACCGUAUAGGAUCUCCUGCUGCAUGGUGGGCGUUGGAACGUUUCGGCGGUUGGGGAUGGACUCGCGGCUUAUCAGCUUGUUGGUGGGGUAGUGGCUUACCAAGGCUUUGACGGGUAGCCGGCCUGAGAGGGUGACCGGCCACAUUGGGACUGAGAGACGGCCCAGACUCCUACGGGAGGCAGCAGUGGGGAAUAUUGCACAAUGGGCGGAAGCCUGAUGCAGAAACGCCGCGUGCGGGAUGACGGCCUUCGGGUUGUAAACAGCUGUCGCCUGUGACGAAGCGUGAGUGACGGUAAUGGGUAAAGAAGCACCGGCUAACUACGUG